rnacentral:rRNA from 1 species
UAACCUGCCCAAGAGAUCGGGAUAACACCUGGAAACAGAUGCUAAUACCGGAUAACAACAGAUGAUGCCUAUCAACUGUUUAAAAGAUGGUUCUGCUAUCACUCUUGGAUGGACCUGCGGUGCAUUAGCUAGUUGGUAGGGUAACGGCCUACCAAGGCGAUGAUGCAUAGCCGAGUUGAGAUACUGAUCGGCCACAUUGGGACUGAGACACGGCCCAAACUCCUACGGGAGGCAGCAGUC